rnacentral:rRNA from 1 species
GACGAACGCUGGCGGCGUGCUUAACACAUGCAAGUCGAACGGAAAGGCCCUGCUUUUGUGGGGUGCUCGAGUGGCGAACGGGUGAGUAACACGUGAGUAACCUGCCCUUGACUUUGGGAUAACUUCAGGAAACUGGGGCUAAUACCGGAUAGGAGCUCCUGCUGCAUGGUGGGGGUUGGAAAGUUUCGGCGGUUGGGGAUGGACUCGCGGCUUAUCAGCUUGUUGGUGGGGUAGUGUCUUACCAAGGCUUUGGCGGGUAGCCGGCCUGAGAGGGUGACCGGCCACGUUGGGACUGAGAUACGGCCCAAACUCCUACAGGAGGCAGCGGUGGGGAAUAUUGCGCAAUGGGCGGAAGCCUGAUGCAGCAACGCCGCGUGCGGGAUGACGGCCUUCGGGUUGUAAACCGCUUUCGCCUGUGACGAAGCGUGAGUGACGGUAAUGGGUAAAGAAGCACCGGCUAACUACGUG